rnacentral:rRNA from 1 species
CACGUAGGCGGAUAUAUAAGUUAGAUGUGAAAUAGUUGGGCUUAACCUGAUUGCUGCAUUUAAGACUGUACAUCUAGAGUUUGAUAGAGGAGAGAGGAAUUUCCGGAGUAGCGGUGAAAUGCGUAGAUAUCGGAAGGAACACCAGUGGCGAAGGCGACUCUCUGGAUUAAGACUGACGUUGAGGUGCGAAAGUGUGGGGAGCAAACA